UUUAUAGUCUUAUGUUUCUAAUGUUACUGUCAGUCUCAGCAGCUGAAGCACAGUAUUUUUGUGUUAUGUUUUAUGCCAGUAUCAUUUUAACGCUGGGUGCAUUAAGAGUAGAUGUAGUUACAGAAUGAGUCCAGCAGAGGGAGCUCUAAACUGCUGAGGUAUGCUGAAGGGCACGUCGCUUCUUUUCUUCCACUCAUUAUACACAUGAGCUGAGGGAAGUUGUGUCUGUGCAUCUUUCACACUAAUAUCUCCCUUUUCAGUAUGAGUGCUUCAUAAUGACUGUUCAUGGUGGAAUGUGUUUUAGUUGACGGUGUAUAGAUGUCUAAGAAACCAUUUGCGGUACUUUAUAUUUGUCUAUUUCGAAGAAAUGAAGUAAAUUACCUGACGCUAGUCAUAUUAGCCUUGUUAUGCUAACCCCGCCCUCGCCUGUGUAGUAGCGGUGCGCAGUAGCCGUUUUUACAGCUGUCAGAGUUUGAAACAUUAAUGUCAGUGUUAGUGUUUAUUGUCAGAAUGGACAUGUUGUCUUGCUGUUGGAUGUACAUUUCUGAUUGUGAUAUUUCGGUACAACUUUCUGAUAUUUCUUGCACUUAAGCAUAGUGGUUUGUUGUGCUAUUGGUUCCGAUUGUAGGAGAUGAACCACUCAUUAUACACGUGAGGUGUCUGUGCAUCUUUCACAUUAAUACCUCCCUUUUCAGGGCUUUUACAGCUACAUCCUGCAGUUCACAUGGCAGGACAGCUGUAGACCACACUUGGCCAGAUAUGGGGAUCUCAGGUUCUGCAGAAAGGAGGCCUGAGAUGGGAAAAUUAAAAUCUAGAUUAUUACCUUUUAGACAAUGCUCUUGUGUUAGGAGCAUCAUAUUGUUAUAUUCUAUUUAUAACAACAAGUUACUUACUCACAUGGUACCCAAUGCAUUUGCUGCCUCAAAAGUUUUCUAUUUUCUGUCACAAAGGGUAUCUGAGUUAAUGAUAUCUAUUUCCACUAGAUGGCGCUUGUGUACUUAAGCACUCACUCAUUUCACUAACUUUUGAUUAGUUUAAUUUGUAUAAUUUUAUAUUUUGGUUAUUUUAUAAUGCUUAUUGUGAUUUCUACACUCAACUGUUGUUUAUUUGAGAAGAUUUAUUCUUUCUAAGAGUUUUAGUUGUUUUAUUUUAUUCCCAUCUUGCUUUGUACGUCACUUCCUGUUUUGCCAUCCACAUGCAAUGCAAUAGAUAGAUAGAUAGAUAGAUAGAUAGAUUUACUUUAUUGAUCCCAUGAGGGAAAUUCUUGUGUUACAGCAGCAUGGUCAGUAGCAAGAUACAACACGUACACGUACGAGUCUGCUCAUUCCCAAAAAACACACAAAAUAUAAAAUAUAAAAUACAAUACGUUAAAUUGAAUGUAGUAGUGCAGAUAUGGAAUACAGUUGUAGAUUUAACCAGAUUUACACCAGUAUUUACAUAAGUACACUUGUGAAAACUGGUAGUGAAUAAUGAUGAAUAUGAAGAACCUUGAGAAUGUAGAAUAUAAUGACAGCUUUCUAAAUGAUAGCUUCCUUGUAGAAGUGUAAUGUUAUCGUAAGGAUUAAGUUGUUUCUCUUCAUGAAUAUAAGCCAUCCAAGAAAGAAACUUCAAGAUGUAAACCCCUCUCUUAGUUCACAAGCAGGCAAAAGUGUUCUACGGUGUUGGUGUCGAUGUCGAUGGAUGCAUUAAACAUCUGUGAACGGAACCUCAGCCUUCGCGUUGUGACUAAGGGCGGCAUACCCAAUACGAUGCAAAUGGAAAAAAGCAGGUCAUGAUGCCCUGAUACUGUCUGGAAAAGCAGGUGUCAAAAAAAAAAGAAAUAUAUUUGAAUAUCAACAGAAUGAAAGAUUCAACAGGUGAACUAAUUCCAGUACAGAACCUAUAGGAUGUUGCGGAUGCGCGACUGAACGGAUCACUUCCCGAGAUGGAAUGACCCAUCACUACGAAAGACAGAGACAGCGCCAGUGUGUUACAGCGGAGAGUGAGAGGGUGUACAGAUUUCUUUCCUGCUGUUCUAAAGAAUCACCCACACAGCCAGCUGCCACAGAUGAUGGAGGAAUGAACUCUUCUCCCACUCUGAUGAUGGUCGUAUCCCUCCUCUUAUUAGCCAGUCAUUUCAGCACAAUAACAUGACAGGCAUACUUUAUGUUGAUUUUUUUCCUUCAUUCUUCUUAUGAGGCAAAAUAGUCGGUCAGAUUUUGUGAACAGUUCAGCUUGAGGUACAAGAGUGUACUGUUACCAGUUGCUGGUGUUUCUUUUACACUGGGUAACGAUUUGGCAGGGAGUAAAGUACUUUCCCUUCCUGAAGUGACCCGUUCACUACAAGUGAAGGUGUCCUUACCCAGCAGUAUCCCUAGUGUUCCCUACUUGUCUGCUCACCCGUGUUCUUCAUGUGAACAGCUUGAACUUGAACUAGGUGUGCGGUUACGCCUGAUGGGAAGCUCUGGUACGUUAUGUUAGGUGAUGACUGUUGACUUCAUCUGUCACUGCUCAUUACUAUAUACUAAACUUCUUGCAUGUUUGUACAUUUCUACCUUUUUAUUUCAUAUUUUUCAUGAUUGUAUUUUUGUCUGUACUUUAUUCCUUUGUAUGUUGCGGCCAGUCCUUCGGUGCUUGGCCCCCUAAUAACAAUAAUACAUUCUCUUAAAAGAUGUUUUAGUAAAUGUAUUUUUAUUUGGA